CAAUUCUCUUCUGCCCUCCCCGUCUCAUGAAGCCGCUGGUAGUGUUCGUCCUCGGCGGCCCCGGCGCCGGCAAGGGGACCCAGUGCGCCCGCAUUGUCAAGAAAUAUGGCUACACACACCUUUCUGCAGGAGAGCUGCUUCAUGAUGAAAGGAAGAACCCAGAUUCACAGUAUGGUGAACUUAUUGAAAAGUACAUUAAAGAAGGAAAGAUUGUACCAGUUGAGAUAACCAUCAGUUUAUUAAAGAGGGAAAUGGAUCAGACAAUGGCUGCCAAUGCUCAGAAGGAUAAAUUCUUGAUUGAUGGGUUUCCAAGAAAUCAAGACAACCUUCAAGGUUGGAACAAGACCAUGGAUGGGAAGGCAGAUGUAUCUUUCGUUCUGUUUUUUGACUGUAAUAAUGAGAUCUGUAUUGAACGAUGUCUUGAGAGGGGAAAGAGUAGUGGUAGGAGUGAUGACAACAGAGAGAGCUUGGAAAAGAGAAUUCAGACAUACCUUCAGUCAACAAAGCCAAUUAUUGACUUAUAUGAAGAAAUGGGGAAAGUCAAGAAAAUAGAUGCUUCUGAAUCUGUUGAUGAAGUUUUUGAUGAAGUUAUGCAGAUUUUUGACAAGGAAGGCUAAUUCUAAACCUGAAAGCAUCCUUGAAAUCAUGCUUGAAUAUUGCUUUGAUAGCUGCUAUCAUGACCCCUUUUUAAGGCAAUUUUAAUCUUUCACAACUACAUCUCAAUUAGUGGCUGGAAAGUACAUGGUAAAACAAAGUUAAUUUUUUAUGUUCUCUUUUUUGGUCACAGGAGUAGACAGUGAAUUCAGGUUUAACUUCAUCUUAGUUAUGGUGCUCACUAAACAAGGGUAUCAGCUAGUUUUUUUUUUUAAUUCAAAAAGAAUAUCCCUUUUAUAGUUUGUGCCUUCUGUGAGCAAAACUUUUUAGUACGCAUAUAUAUCCCUUUAGUAAUCACAACAUGUUAGGAUUUAGGGAUACCCGCUUCCUCUUUUUCUUGCAAGUUUUAAAUUUCUAACCUUAAGUGAAUUUGUGGAGCAAAUUUCAAAAGAACUUUUUGUGUAGUCAGUUCUUGCACAAUGUGUUUGGUAAACAAACUCAAAAUGGAUUCUUAGCAGUGUUUUAAUAUUUAUCAAAUAACUGACCAUUUACUAUAGAAAGGUGAAAAAACUUAAGCUUUGUUUUACUACAACUUGUACAAAGUUGUAUGACAGGGCAUAUUCUUUGCUUCUGAGAUUUGGGUUGGGGGCACUAGGGGUUCAGAGCCUGACAGAAUUGUCAGCUUUAUUCUGACAUAAUCUAAGGGUAUGGGGCAAGGAUCACAUCUAAUGCUCAUGUUCCUUAUACUCUGUUAUAUAGUAUUAUUCAUGAUUC